UACAGAGGUCCCGAGCGUUGUUCGGAUUCACUGGGCGUAAAGGGUGCGUAGGCGGUUCUGAAAGUCUGAUGUGAAAUCUCCAGGCCCAACCUGGAAAUGGCAUUAGAAACUACAGGGCUAGAGGCUUGGAGGGGGGAACUGGAAUGCUCGGUGUAGCAGUGAAAUGCGUAGAGAUCGAGCGGAACACCAGUGGCGAAGGCGAGUUCCUGGACAAGUCCUGACGCUGAGGCACGAAAGCAUGGGGGAGCGAACAGG
rnacentral:rRNA from 1 species